UUAAUGAACUUGUAUAAGUAUAUAUUUUGAAAAUAUAAAAAAAGAAUAAUAAUUCUUAUUAACUUC
rnacentral:tRNA from 1 species